rnacentral:lncRNA from 1 species
CUCAGAGUCAGUAGUAGGAGAUGUGACAACAGAAGCAAGAGUUUGGAGGUGAGCGGAAUACAGGCAACUUCUAGAUUCCGAAAAAGAUAAGGAAACAGAUUCUCCCCUGCUUAGGGGACCGCUCCCAGGACAGCAGGCUAUGAACCCAAGACAAGACCUGGAACAGCCAGCAAAGAAAGAUCGCUAACCUGGGAGGGUGAGCUUGGGUGAGAGCUGAAGAUGGUGGCAGCCAUGGCAAACCACAGAAAAGAUAAAACGCACGUGCCUGAUGGCCACUGACUUUAUUUUCUUCAGAAGUGUGCACCUGGGCCUCACCAGACAGCACCUCACUCCUGCAGUGAUGCAUCGUAUAAACCAGGAGACCUCUAUUUGCUUUCGAGAGUUUGUCUCACUUAUUAGUGGAAUGCAUCUUUUACCAUCAGUGUCACUGUUUCCAGAGAUAGUGGCAUGGGAGGAAAAACUGAAGAAGCAGCUGAAGACUCGAUGCCAGGGGCAACUCUUUCAUGGUCCAACCCAGAUGGUUGCCUGGGUGUGUUCCCAUUAUCAUAGUUCGUCAAAUUGUACACUAGGAUUUUCACACAUUUUUAAAUGUAUGCUGUGUUUCAAUAAAAUACUUACUUUAAAAGAUACCUUUGAUCUAGGUAGAAGACAUCAAUAAUUUCACUCCCGUGAUGUUGUAAAUAAACUUCACCAUACUAAAAAUAAGACUUAUUCU